rnacentral:rRNA from 1 species
GAUGAACGCUGGCGGCAUGCCUAAUACAUGCAAGUCGAACGAGAGGAAGGAAAGCUUGCUUUUCUGAAUCUAGUGGCGAACGGGUGAGUAACACGUAGGUAACCUGCCCAUGUGCCCGGGAUAACUUCUGGAAACGGAUGCUAAAACCGGCUAGGUAGCAGACAAGCAUUUGACUGCUAUUAAAGUGGCUAAGGCCAUGAACAUGGAUGGACCUGCGGUGCAUUAGCUAGUUGGUGAGGUAACGGCCCACCAAGGCGACGAUGCAUAGCCGGACUGAGAGGACGGACGGCCACAUUGGGACUGAGACACGGCCCAAACUCCUACGGGAGGCAGCAGUAGGGAAUCUUCGUCAAUGGGGGGAACCCUGAACGAGCAAUGCCGCGUGAGUGAGGAAGGUCUUCGGAUCGUAAAGCUCUGUUGUAAGAGAAAAACGACAUUCAUAGGGAAUGAUGAGUGAGUGAUGGUAUCUUACCAGAAAGUCACGGCUAACUACGUGCCAGCAGCCGCCGUAACAC